GACGAACGCUGGCGGCGUGCUUAACACAUGCAAGUCGAACGGAAAGGCCCUGCUUUUGUGGGGUGCUCGAGUGGCGAACGGGUGAGUAACACGUGAGUAACCUGCCCUUGACUUUGGGAUAACUUCAGGAAACUGGGGCUAAUACCGGAUAGGAGCUCCUGCUGCAUGGUGGGGGUUGGAAAGUUUCGGCGGUUGGGGAUGGACUCGCGGCUUAUCAGCCUGUUGGUGGGGUAGUGGCUUACCAAGGCUUUGACGGGUAGCCGGCCUGAGAGGGUGACCGGCCACAUUGGGACUGAGAUACGGCCCAGACUCCUACGGGAGGCAGCAGUGGGGAAUAUUGCACAAUGGGCGGAAGCCUGAUGCAGCAACGCCGCGCGCGGGAUGACGGCCUUCGGGUUGUAAACCGCUUUCGCCUGUGACGAAGCGUGAGUGACGGUAAUGGGUAAAGAAGCACCGGCUAACUACGUG
rnacentral:rRNA from 1 species